rnacentral:rRNA from 1 species
AGCGAACGCUGGCGGCAGGCCUAACACAUGCAAGUCGAACGAACUCUUCGGAGUUAGUGGCGGACGGGUGAGUAACACGUGGGAACGUGCCUUUUGGUUCGGAAUAACUCAGGGAAACUUGUGCUAAUACCGAAUGUGCCCUUCGGGGGAAAGAUUUAUCGCCAUUAGAGCGGCCCGCGUCUGAUUAGCUAGUUGGUGAGGUAACGGCUCACCAAGGCGACGAUCAGUAGCUGGUCUGAGAGGAUGACCAGCCACACUGGGACUGAGACACGGCCCAGACUCCUACGGGAGGCAGCAGUGGGGAAUCUUGCGCAAUGGGCGAAAGCCUGACGCAGCCAUGCCGCGUGAAUGAUGAAGGUCUUAGGAUUGGAAAAUUCUUUCACCGGGGACGAUAAUGACGGUACCCGGAGAAGAAGCCCCGGCUAACUUCGUGC